rnacentral:rRNA from 1 species
GAUGAACGCUGGCGGCGUGCCUAAUACAUGCAAGUCGAGCGAACAGACGAGGAGCUUGCUCCUCUGAUGUUAGCGGCGGACGGGUGAGUAACACGUGGAUAACCUACCUAUAAGACUGGGAUAACUUCGGGAAACCGGAGCUAAUACCGGAUAACAUGUUGAACCGCAUGGUUCAACAGUGAAAGACGGUCUUGCUGUCACUUAUAGAUGGAUCCGCGCCGCAUUAGCUAGUUGGUAAGGUAACGGCUUACCAAGGCAACGAUGCGUAGCCGACCUGAGAGGGUGAUCGGCCACACUGGAACUGAGACACGGUCCAGACUCCUACGGGAGGCAGCAGUAGGGAAUCUUCUGCAAUGGGCGAAAGCCUGACGGAGCAACGCCGCGUGAGUGAAGAAGGUCUUCGGAUCGUAAAACUCUGUUAUUAGGGAAGAACAAAUGUGUAAGUAACUAUGCACGUCUUGACGGUACCUAAUCAGAAAGCCACGGCUAACUACGUG